rnacentral:rRNA from 1 species
AUGCUGCGGUAUCAUCCUCAUUCUUGCCACUCGAUCACCACGCAGUGCAUGCAUGAGAGAACAUGCCGGCGGCGAUUAAUUGCUACAGAUAUCGGCCGACGACGAAGAAGACGAUGGACGCGGCAGAGAACCAGCAGCCGAUCGACAAGCAGAAUCGGCUUUUGCGGCCGGGAAAUCGUGACGACUAUUGAAGCCAAUGAUUUGUUGGUUCGUCCCCUUCCCCCCUCCGUUUCCGUUUAUCCUCUCUUCGUGGUUGCAUGUAUUGCCCUGCUUCAUGCAUGGACGAGAGAGGGACGAGGGCGCGGCCGACACGUGGAGUAUUUCCACUGGUACAUGCCCCAUGUUCAUGCAUGCGCACGCGAGAGAAAACGAGGGUUGUCGGCCGGAUUAUUUUCUUGA